rnacentral:rRNA from 1 species
GGCCAGACUCCUACGGGAGGCAGCAGUGAGGAAUAUUGGUCAAUGGCCGAGAGGCUGAACCAGCCAAGUCGCGUGAGGGAAGACGGCCCUACGGGUUGUAAACCUCUUUUGUCGGGGAGCAAAGAGAGUCACGUGUGACUCAUUGAGAGUACCCGAAGAAAAAGCAUCGGCUAACUCCGUGCCAGCAGCCGCGGUAAUACGGAGGAUGCGAGCGUUAUCCGGAUUUAUUGGGUUUAAAGGGUGCGUAGGCGGGCUGUUAAGUCAGCGGUCAAAUGUCGGGGCUCAACCCCGGCCUGCCGUUGAAACUGGCAGUCUCGAGUUGGAGAGAAGUAUGCGGAAUGCGCGGUGUAGCGGUGAAAUGCAUAGAUAUCACGCAGAACUCCGAUUGCGAAGGCAGCACACCGGUGCCCAACUGACGCUGAAGCACGAAAGCGUGGGUAUCGAACAGGAUUAGAUACCCUGGUA